rnacentral:rRNA from 1 species
GACGAACGCUGGCGGCGUGCCUAACACAUGCAAGUCGAACGGAGUGUUCCUUCGGGGACACUUAGUGGCGAACGGGUGAGUAACGCGUGAGGAACCUGCCUCUCAGUGGGGACGAACAGUUGGAAACGACUGCUAAUACCGCAUAAUGUUUCGGUACCGCAUGAUCUGAAAACCAAAGAUUUAUUGCUGAGAGAUGGCCUCGCGUCUGAUUAGCUAGUUGGUGGGGUAACGGCCCACCAAGGCGACGAUCAGUAGCCGGUCUGAGAGGAUGAACGGCCACAUUGGGACUGAGAUACGGCCCAG